ensembl:misc_RNA 7SK 7SK RNA
GGAUGUGAGAGAUGAUCUUACUUUGUCAUCUGUCACAUCAUCGAUUGGCAGCAUUGAUUUGGCUAAUCUGGCUGGCUAGGCAGCUGUCCCCUUCUUCUCUCUCCACUCCAAGUACACUCUUCCCAAAACUUCAUGCUUCGUGGAGGAGGAUAAUCUCCCCUGAGAGAGGAGGACCAGUCUUUGGUCAAGAAUACAUGAGUGGCUCUGCUCCCCUGAUAGAAUCUCCAGACAAGCUGUCAAGGUCCACUUGUAGGAGAACAUAAGGUAGUCAAGCUUCCAAGACUCCAGAUAUAUCCAGAUGAGGUGCUACAUGUAUCGGUUUGCCUUUCUUA